CCCUCUUCUUCGCCACCACCGCAUUUUGGCGCUGCUGUCUCUCAGUUUUCUCCCGAAGCUAUUCUGUCAGGAGCAGUCCCAAGUUUCUUCUUCUCGGUACGAACAAAUCUUUGGUUUUGCAAGAAACACAAGAAGUAUGGCUUUGACAAACUUCAUACUGACUGUUGCUGGUGUAAGUGCGGUGGUUCUUCUGCUGAGGAGUGAUGUGAAGCAAUCAGCUACCAUCUUCAGGCGCAAUGUCAAACAUAUCCGUAAGUGGCUUGAAGAAGAAUCUGCCAAUGCCCCCAAAAUCACCAUGGAACUGGAAUCAAAAGUUUCACCAAAGGAGAUCCCCAAGGAGGACAAGCACUAGUGUC